UACGUAGGGUGCAAGCGUUAAUCGGAAUUACUGGGCGUAAAGCGUGCGCAGGCGGUUAUGUAAGACAGAUGUGAAAAUGCCCGGGCUUAACCUGGGAACUGCAUUUGUGACUGCAUGGCUAGAGUUUGGCAGAGGGGGGUAGAAUUCACGUGUAGCAGUGAAAUGCGUAGAUAUGUGGAGGAACACCGAUGGCGAAGGCAGCCCCCUGGGUCAAG
rnacentral:rRNA from 1 species